CAGAACGAACGCUGGCGGCGCGUCUUAAGCAUGCAAGUCGAACGGCAAGAGGUAGCAAUACCUCCUAGAGUGGCGGACUGGUGAGUAACACGUGGGUGACAUACCCUUCAGAUGGGGAUAGCUAUUAGAAAUAGUAGAUAAUACCGAAUACGAGCACAGGGGUUAGAGAUCUGUGAGGAAAGGAGCUAAGGCUCCGCUGAAGGAAUGGCCUGCGGCCCAUUAGCUAGUUGGUGAGGUAAGAGCCCACCAAGGCGAUGAUGGGUAUCCGGCCUUAGAGGGUGAACGGACACAUUGGGACUGAGAUACGGCCCAGACUCCUACGGGAGGCAGCAGCUAAGAAUAUUCCGCAAUGGACGAAAGUCUGACGGAGCGACGCCGCCGUGGAUGAAGAAGGCCGGAAGGUUGUAAAAUCCUUUUGAAACUGAAGAAUAAGCGUUGUAGGGAAUGACAGCGUGGUGACAGUAGGUUUUGAAUAAGCAACGGCUAAUUACGUGCCAGCCGCCGC
rnacentral:rRNA from 1 species